rnacentral:misc_RNA from 1 species
AUGUGCAAGUUCUUCCUAAUACCAUUUCUGAUAUGUAGUUCUCCAUAUUUAUAAAAACUCUCUAGAAAUAUAUGCUGUAAACCCUAACGAAAUCUUAUAUAAAUAUAUAAAGGUUUGUUUACGAAUGGUCCAUAUAAACUCGAAAUGUCAAAUUAACUUUGCAAAGUGCUUCUUCGCGCAAAAUUAGGUGGCAGUCUAAUUAGAAGGUAAAAAUGGCUUCUACUCCUGAGCAUGUUGUUUGUACACCGACUUUUGUUUUUCCAGCAGCCUUUCCAGGUUUUGACCCACAUUCACAUAUGGCAAAUUUUCACCCAAAUAGUGGACCCUCAGCAAUAUGUCAUCAUCUAAAAUCUCAAGAAGUCCAAAAAAUCAAGACUACUAGUCAUGGUUCAGAUGUAAAAACCCAUACCCUUUUUGUUAACAAUGACUAUGCCACAACUAGCCAAAACUUUUUGGUGGCUGCUAAAGGUGUUCCUACAUCUGCUGCUUUCCCAUGUGUUAAUCCAUCCAAAGUGGUUUCUGCAGCAGCAGCUGUAGAGAAACAGGAAGACAUGAAAGACAAGUCAUGGCCCUGUCCAGCAUGUCAGGUCCCUUUCAAGACAGCAUCUGAACUCCAAGCUCAUCUUUCUCAUCACACAAAAGAUGAUAGAACAGCUCCUUGUGAAACCUGUGGUAAGCUAUUUAUUUCAGCAGAGAGAGUCAGAAUUCAUGUGCGUGCAGUUCAUGGAAAAAAGUCUUGUUCUUGUGACAUUUGUGGCAGUGGUUUCAGCUACCGUUGUAAGUUAUUGGACCACAUGCGAACCCACACAGGAGAUAAGCCAUUCCACUGUGAUGUCUGUGGAAAGAACUUUUCCCAAAAGAAUCAUUUGACUCGGCAUUCUAUGAUCCAUACUGGAGAACGUCCUUACCCCUGUGAUUUUUGUGGAAGAGGUUUCUACCGGAAAGACAAGCUAUCCCGGCACAGACGUAUACACACAGAAAAGCUUGAGGUUCACAUGCCUUCAUCACAAGGAGAAAAGCCCUGCUCUUGUGGCAUAUGUGGAAGUGGUUUCAGCUACCGUUGCAAAUUAUUGAACCACAUGCGAACCCACACAGGAGACAAACCAUUCCACUGUGAUGUUUGUGGAAAGAACUUUUCCCAGAAAAACCAUUUGACACGGCAUUCUAUGAUCCAUACUGGGGAACGUCCCUACCCAUGUGAUUUUUGUGGAAGAGGUUUCUACCGGAAGGACAAGCUGUCCCGGCACAGACGUAUACACACAGGUGAGAAGCCUUAUAUAUGUUUAGCCUGUGGUAAGUCAUUCUACCGCAGAGAUAAGUUAACACGUCAUAUUAAAAUGCACAGUGGGGAAAAGCCUUUUAUGUGUGCCAUCUGCGGAAAAAGAUUUGUUGAAGAAAGAGAUCUGAAGAGACAUAAGUGCCCUACUCGUCACUUGAACAAUAUUACUACCAAAUGCCAGAUGACAACCCCAUGCUCUGGGAUCCAGCAACAGGAGUUUGACCAACAGCAGCAGUCUGACCAUCCUAAGCAGCAAUCUGAACACCCCCAACAAGAGCAACCAAGUUAUCACACAACAGACAACACAGAUCAUACCAAGUCCCUGGACCAAAGUUUUGAAACUCAGCCCUUUCACAGCCUUUCCAAUCAAACUUGAUUGGCUGUAUUCUUAACUAGGGAUUCACUGAGUAGCUUCAGCAUACUCUGGUAGUGUUGCUUAUCAACAACCUUGUAUAUGAUUACAUUCCUUUUUUCCUAUUUUUCUUCAUUCAAUCUGUUAGAUGAGAACUUGUUAUUCUGCAUAGAAAUUACCUGGGAAAGAAAUGCACAUCUAGAAAUUUAUUUUUAGUUAUAACAAUUAGUGAGUAAUGGAUUUCAUCCCACAAUGCUUAUAAUCAAGAAAGUAGGCAAUUUUCGAUAAAAAAAAUAAAUUUUAAGAAAAAAAAAGCGUAGUAUUUUGUUAACUGUUUUUGUUCUUAAUUUUUGGGCUUCUUAUACACUUCGUAAUAUAUGGUAUAGUGGUUUUUGUUAGUAAAUUGUUAUUCAAAUACUUGUUAGAGCUAGUUAUUGUAGUGGUUUAUAUAAUGUUGUUAUACUUUUGUUGUAAAGAUUUAUUAUGUUUUAUUCACCAUGCAUUAUAAAAUCUUAUAUUUUACAUUAGUAAUGGUUUGAGUUAAAUAAUGCAAUAUGUUUUCUGGAAAUAUGACUUUUAUAUUCUGAAAGUUUUUAUGUUUGAUUGAACAUGCAGGCCAAAUAUGAGUAGUUCACCACUCCUGACAAGGCUUUAUCUUUGAGAUAUCCAUAUUGUUUGAAUACACACAUAUUUUGUGUUAGAAACAUGGAAGAAUAGGUGCUUAUAUUAAUUUCUGCAUUUUAUCAUUCAAGUUUGAAAAAGAAACUUACUAUUGGUAAUGGGCUAUUUUUGGCACAUUGAAGUUCAAAGUUGUAGAAUAGUUGUAGUGAAAUAUAGUACAUGAAGUAUUUUAAAAAUAAUAUUACAGUCAUAAUGGGUACAUUUGUCUUAGGGGUAUUCCAUUUGCUUACCAUCACAGGUUUUACCAAUUCCCAUUAACUCUUAUAGAUUAAAUAAAAUCAACUGUUUUACAAGAUUUUACACAAAAUUAAUUUAACAAUAAGCUGUACUUUAAUUAAGUUAAGUUUGUAAAUUUCAUCACAAUAAUACUAAUAUUUUACGACAUGUAUAUUAUUUUAUUGUACAUUAUUCUCUCUUGUUGAAGGAAACAAGGUAUUUGUUUUAGCAAGAUUUAAAUAUACUGCAUAUCUUUUACUUUUGUACUUGGAGUUUAAUUUUUUAAUAUGAAAUGUUUCACUAGCACUGAAAGAAGUCCUCACUACACUGAUAUUUACCAUUCUGGCUUUAAAAGUUCUUGUAUAACCUAAAUAACUGUAAAAUAGUAGUUAUCACUGCCCAUAUUGGUCCCACGUUAUGUCAAGCAAACUGUAAUAUGUAAAUAAUGUAGUGAAUAAACAUUGAUAUACAACUUAAAUUAAUACACAAAAACUUGUAAAAUUAGUAUGUAUUUACUUUGGUGAUAAUAUGGCUGGAAUGGUAAAAAUUGCCCUAUUUUAAAUGCCAAAGCUUAAUUUUUUUUUUUAUGUUCAGAUAAUUAAAAGUAAACAGGCUAAAUUUUGGAGACAUUCUGUCUUUUCUGUCAGGAAUCAUUUUGAGGAGUUUGUUUUUGACCCAGUAAGUAACACAGGAUGUAUUUAAAAAGAUAUGAUUUAGUCCACGAGUCAGAUAGGGUGAUCGGUACCAUCUGGGGAGGCAAAGUUGCAUGGUUAUAUUUUAAAGGUUUAAGUAUCUAUACAGACUGUUUGGGCAUGAUAGAUAUCUGGCUAGAGUAGCUUUUUAUUAUAUUUUUUCGCUGCUUUUAUAUGUAUACCCUAUGUUCUGUGAUUUGAUAAUUUCUGGAUUAUUUGAAGUAAAUGUCAUCUCUAAGUGUUAGUACUUACUUUUGUAUGAUUUGCUUCAAACUUAGCACCAAAUCAAAUUGUGUGAUGACAAAAGGACUAUGAAGUUUUAUGUUGAUAUUUGCUAUAACUUGGGAAUUAUUAGGUGAAACAAAAAUCUACAAUUAUAUUUCAAAAGUUCAUAAAAAUACACAUUUCAAAUUCAACAUCUCACAAGAUUUGUGUGAAAAGAUCAAUUUGAAGCUUAUAUCCAUACCAAACAUCCAUACAGCAAAGACUUUUUCUAGUAAAAAAUUAAUUACCUUGUCAAAUAUAUAUUGUUUCAAUUGAAUUUCAUAUUAAAAAUGUUAUAUAAAAUAGUCACAAUCAAAAAUAUUUCGAGAACCACAAAAUGGUAUACUGGAAAAUACAAUCUACAUUUAUAUGUAAACAUUUAGUACUUGAACUUGUUAAGAACAAGAUCUUUGCACUUAUACUACUGUCAUCACAAUUAUCUUCAACACUAUAAUCAUAAUCAUCUUCUUCAUUCUGGUCAUCCACUUCAGCAUCACAGAUAUGCUUUUUUUAUAUUGUCGUCACCAGGUUGUUGGUUUGUGUAUGCCUGAAGCCUAUACAUUUCUGUCUAUGGUAAUCUGUUAUUAAUACAAACAGGGACCUACUGUACAAAAACAGGAACAAUCACAUCUCAUCAGCUCAAGUACAACUUUUGUUGUUGGGGGUCCAGUCAUCCAAAGAAUGUCUAAAUUUCCUUCAGAGUUAGCUCUGACUUUUGUGACUUGUGGGUUUAGGUAUGUCAGGCUCAGAUUCUAAUGCCUUUCUCCAAAUAUUGGCUUGGUAAUUUGCCCACAAUGCAUGUUGGAAGAGAUGGUCUCUGCAAGGGGGAAGCUGGCUGGAAUCUAAUUUAUCUCUUUUGGCAAUAAAAAUUUUGAUAAUGACAUUGGUUUACAUCUGCAGUUUAAUUAGACAGAGCAUACAAGUUCUUCCAACUUUAAAAAAAAAGCUAAUCAGAAAGUACCCAGGAAUGGCCAAGUUCCCUCUGUUGAUAUGUAGGUGCAUUUUUCACCAACAUUAGUGCACCUGUCUUUCCUUUGUCACCAAAUGCACUGGUAUUAUCACAGUCCAGAAAUGUGUGAAGGUCAAUCAAACCAAAACAUACAUAUGCACCAAGAAAACCAACAACUUUGGUGAUGUCCUUGUAUUUUUUGUGGUUUUGUGUUCCAGAUUUGACACACAUAGGGCAAUGGAUGUCUUUGUUGAAACUCAAACAAAAAAGAGAACAUCUGUGUUUUCUGCUAAUACAGUGAUAGUUUUGUAACCUGCUUCUGUGGCGUGUGCAGUGUGUAAAAUCAUACAAGUGUCUGCCUCUUCAUGAGAUGACUUGAGGUCAUCUAUCAUCAUUAUGUUAACUUUGGUCAACUUGAAACAUGUAGUUCUUUGUAAGGUAUGUUGCAGUAUUUUUUCUUUCACUCAGUCGUCAGAAAUGUAAUAAGACUAUUUGUUUUGUGAGCUACACAAUAAUUUCCUCCACUGUUGUACUUUAUGACCUGCAGCAAGGCUCUUGAAUUACAUGCCAAAGUUAGACCCUCUUAAUAGAUGUUCUAUGACACACAUCAAAAAUGACAUCAAUCCUAUGACUAAGUGUGCCUUUGUGUAAAAUCAUUGACAGCGCAUAUUCUGCUAGUUCCACAAAGGUUGUCUCCUUUCAUCUUCUGAAUAAUACACAUUCCAUCGAUGAUGCAGGUGGAUGCUCCUGCUAUAUUUUCUGCUGGUGACAAGUUCUUCAUUACUUAACAGCCAAAAGCUGCUUUGUUGGUCUUCCAUGGUGAUCCAUCAAAAGUGGGUAGCGACCAUGGAAUUGGACCCAGUGGAUGCAUGAGUACCUCUUUGAUUUUGAGGUUUCUGUUCUGUGUAAUUAUAAUCAUGUUGCUGAACAAAUCUCUAUCUGCAUUAAGUUGCACUUUGCCAGUUGUUUUUGUAUAUUCUUUUCUUUUGUUGAGGUCAGAGAACAUCUUCAGCUUUUGUUUGGUCAUUUUGUCAUGAAAUUUAUGAAGGCAUCUUCAUCAAGGUGAUUAUUUUUGAAUUCUUGGUAUGCUUUUUCUCCUAAUUCUUGUGCAUGAGGGAGUUGAUCUGUAACAUCAGAAUUUGCUGCUUUGCCUGUUGACAGACUGACCAAGUCCAUUUUUUCUCCAAAAGGAUUCACCCAUUUGUUUUCCAGCAUAUCAACUAUAGCAUCAACAUAAGCACAGUCUUUUCAGAUCCUUGAUGCCUCUAGGUCUAUGGGAGAAAAUUUUUAACUGUGUAGUUGUGUCAUAGCUCUCAUUUGCCUGAGACAUGUCAUCCUGUACUCUGCUAUCAUGUGGUAUUUGGUGGCUCUAUUGGGAUGAAAACUGAAACCUUUGGUGCCACCUGGGGUUUCAGUGUCCUUAUUUACUGUUUCUUCCAUCACCUGAUCCACUGAAAUUUUUCCAAAUGGAUUCUGAAAUCGUAGCUGAACUGAGAACCCUCCAGCCUUGAAAUGAGUGAAGACAGGUGAAUGCUUGUUCAGUAGUUGUUGCAUGCAAGGCCAGCGCAACACUUCAAGGUGCCCUUGGUCAAAAAUAAUGAUUCAGCAUCCCAACCCCCAAAAAAAAUUAUCUCGGCUAUCCAGAUACUCCCCAUAACAUCACCCCACGCAUUUUUGUAUUUCAAAUAUUAACACAGAAAGCUUGCAAUGACAGACUAUAUUUAAAAUUUUCAGAAUUUAACUUUUCUUGAUUUUAAUUUUGCAAAUGUUGUAACAAGUUCCUUCAAGUCUAUUUGUUGUGCCAGGUCAUGUUCUAUGGACAAAGUAGCCAGGCCAACAAGUCUUUCCUGGGCCAUAGAAGACUGAACGUAAAUUUUAAACAAUUUAAGUGUGGAAAAACUUCUUUCAUCACUAAUGACAGAAACUGGAUACGUAGAGCUAUUAAAGUGUUGGAGACACUGUCGUUUUAUUCCAUAGAUCACAUGCUAGUAGGGGACUGCUUGUAAAAAAACCAGGUUACCCUUCUCAGUUGGCCUUAUCCUACUUGAACAUCUAUGAUCUGUCAACUCUCAAUGAUAUGGGAAGUUUGGAAAGUAGCAAGUAACUAUUUCAACUGAGAUUAUUGUAAAGGAAAUUAAUUUUAUUGACUGUUAACAUUCAGAUUCCCAAGUGCAUCAAUUUGAUGCAACUGUUGUAUGGUUUGUUUUUAUUGCAUUUCAAAAAAACAACUAUUAGAUGAAAUAGCUUGAAACUUCAAAUAAACUAUCUAAAAACAAUGUUGCUUCUGCAAAUGAAAUAUUAUUGUGUGUGAUAUUUGUAGCUUUGAAAAUUCAAAACAAUUUCAUUGUUAUGUAUUUUAAAAAACAACUGAGAUUGCAUACCUUUAUUGUGGAUUUUAAUUACUGAACUUGUCUUUUCCUACAUUCUUCUAAAACUUUCCUAUAUAGCUGUUAAUUAAUAAAACUGUAAAAUUUA